rnacentral:rRNA from 1 species
CUUGUACCUGGUGGCGAGCGGCGGACGGGUGAGUAAUGCCUAGGAAUCUGCCUGGUAGUGGGGGAUAACGCUCGGAAACGGACGCUAAUACCGCAUACGUCCUACGGGAGAAAGCAGGGGACCUUCGGGCCUUGCGCUAUCAGAUGAGCCUAGGUCGGAUUAGCUAGUUGGUGAGGUAAUGGCUCACCAAGGCGACGAUCCGUAACUGGUCUGAGAGGAUGAUCAGUCACACUGGAACUGAGACACGGUCCAGACUCCUACGGGAGGCAGCAGUGGGGAAUAUUGGACAAUGGGCGAAAGCCUGAUCCAGCCAUGCCGCGUGUGUGAAGAAGGUCUUCGGAUUGUAAAGCACUUUAAGUUGGGAGGAAGGGCAUUUACCUAAUACGUAAGUGUUUUGACGUUACCGACAGAAUAAGCACCGGCUAACUCUGUGCCAGCAGCCGCGGUAAUACAGAGGGUGCAAGCGUUAAUCGGAAUUACUGGGCGUAAAGCGCGCGUAGGUGGUUUGUUAAGUUGGAUGUGAAAUCCCCGGGCUCAACCUGGGAACUGCAUUCAAAACUGACAAGCUAGAGUAUGGUAGAGGGUGGUGGAAUUUCCUGUGUAG